CAGCGCCACGAGUGGCAAUCAUGUUUACUUGGCCUAAAGCGUCCGUAGCCGGUUAGGUGAAUCUUUUGUGAAAUUGUUGGGCUCAACUCAACAACGUGCAGAAGACACUACCUAACUUGGGACCGGGAGGAGUCAGAAGUAUUCUUUGGGGAGCGGUAAAAUGCUAUAAUCCUUAGAAGACUACCUGUGGCGAAGGCGUCUGACCAGAACGGAUCCGACGGUGAGGGACGAAAGCUAGGGGCGCGAACCGGAUUAGAUACCCGAGUAGUCC
rnacentral:rRNA from 1 species